rnacentral:rRNA from 1 species
UUGAUCUCAAAUCAGGUAGGACUACCCGCUGAACUUAAGCAUAUCAAUAAGCGGAGGAAAAGAAACUAACAAGGAUUCCCCUAGUAACUGCGAGUGAAGCGGGAAGAGCUCAAAUUUAAAAUCUGGCGUGCCUCUGGCCGUCCGAGUUGUAGUCUGGAGAAGCGUUUUCCGUGUUGGGCCGUGUAUAAGUCCCUUGGAACAGGGCGUCAUAGAGGGUGAGAAUCCCGUCUUUGACACGGACUACCAAUGCUUUGUGAUGCGCUCUCAAAGAGUCGAGUUGUUUGGGAAUGCAGCUCAAAAUGGG